GGUUCGAUUCUGGCUCAGAUUGAACGCUGGCGGGAUGCUUUACAUGCAGUCGAACGGCAGCACGCGGACUUCGGUCUGGUGGCGAGUGGCGAACGGGUGAGUAAUGUAUCGGAACGUGCCUAGUAGCGGGGGAUAACUACGCGAAAGCGUAGCUAAUACCGCAUACGCCCUUCGAGGGGAAAGCAGGGGACCUUCGGGCCUCGCACUAUUAGAAGCGGUUCGAUAUCGGAUUAGCUAGUUGGUGGGGUAACGGCUCACCAAGGCGACGAUCCGUAGCUGGUUUGAGAGGACGACCAGCCACACAGGACUGAGACACAGCCCAGACUCCUGCAGGAGGCAACAGUGGGGAAUUUUGGACAAUGGGGAAACCUGAUCCAGCCAUCCCGCGUGUGCGAUGAGGGCCUUCGGGUUGUAAAGCACUUUUGGCAGAAGAAACGGCACAGGAUAUUACCCCGUGCAGCUGACCAAACACCUGCGAAUAAGCACCGGCUUCAACUACGUGCCAACAGCCGCGGUAAUACAGUAAAGGGUGCAGCGUUAAUCGGAAUUACUGGGGCGUAAAAUGCGCAGGCGGUUCGGAAAGAAAGAUGUGAAAUCCCCGAGCUUAACUUUGGAACUGCAUUUUUAACUACCGAGCUAGAGUGUGUCAGAGGGAGGUGGAAUUCCGCGUGUAGCAGUGAAAUGCGUAGAUAUGCGGAGGAGCACCGAUAGCGAAGGCAGCCUCCUGGGAUAACACUGACGCUCAUGCGAAAGCGUGGGGAGCAAACAGGAUUAGAUACCCUGGUAGUCCACGCUGUAAAGCGAUAUCGCUUGCUAGCUGUUGGGGCCUUCGGGCCUUGGUAGCGCAACUAACGCGUGAAGUUGACCGCCUGGGAAGUACAGUCGCAAGAUUAAAACUCAAAGGAAUUGACGAGGACCGCACAAGCGGUGGAUGAUGUGGAUUAAUUCGAUGCAACGCAUGAAAAACCUUACCUACCCUUGACAUGUCUGGAAUCCCGAAGAGAUUUGGGAGUGCUCGCAAAGAGAACCGGAACACAGGUGCUGCAUGGCAUCGUCAGCUCGUGUCGUGAGAUGUUAGGUUAAGUCCCAUGUAACAGAGCGCAACCGCUGUCAUUAGUUGCUACGAAAGGGCACUCUAAUGAGACUGCCGGUGACAAACCGGAGGAAGGUGGGGAUGACGUCAAGUCUACAUGGCCCUUAUGGUAAAGACUACACGUCAUACAAAAUGGUCGGGACAGAGGGUGCUUAACGCUGCGAAGGCCAAUCCCCGAAACCCGAUCGUAGUCCGGAUCAUGAUCUGCAACUCGACUUAAAUGAAGUCGGAAUCGCUAAUGGCUCGCGGAUCAGCAUGUCGCGGUGAAUACGUUCCCGGGUCUUGUACACACCGCCCGGCUCACACCGCUUGGGAAUGGAUUUUACCAGAAGUAGUUAAUAUAACCGUAAGGAGGGCGAUUACCACGGUAGGAUUCAUGACUGGGGUGAAGUCGUAACAAGGUAG
rnacentral:rRNA from 1 species